CCCUUAGAUGUUCUGGGCCGCACGCGUGCUACACUGAGUGGAUCAGCGGGUCAGGUUGCGCGAAAGCGUUUCCUAAUCUUUAAAUCCGCUCGUGAUGGGGAUUGACGGUUGCAAUUUUCUGUCAUGAACGAGGAAUACCUUGUAAGCGCGGGUCAUCAUCCCGCGCUGAAUACGUCCCUGCCCUUUGUACACACCGCCCGUCCCUCCUACCGAUUGAGUGGUCCGGUGAGGCUUUGGGAUCUGAGCGGAAAGAGCGUUUCGCUGUUUCUGCUCGGAAAACUCAGUCGAACCUUAUCAUUUAGAGGAAGGAGAAGUCGUAACA
rnacentral:rRNA from 1 species